UGCAUAUAAUAAGUCACUCCGACCGUAACCUAAACCCACUUCAUUGUUUGAUUGGACAUAACCUUAGCAACUAAUUAUCUCGUUACGUUUCUCCUACACGACAACACGAUUUUGUCUCUUCCCCUCGCCGCUUUGUCCCCCUCCAACAUUCACAGCUGGACCUCAUUUUCACAACUAAGAGACGUAUCACGGGCAUAUUAGUCAUUUUUGUCUAGGUCUACUUUUAAUUCAGUGAGUAAUAACUAAAAAAAACUUUGGCUCGUGGCUUGACUGGUCUUGGCCUCCUCCUCGUUAUGAUAUGCUGAAUAAAUUAAGGUAUAACAAGAUUAGGGUUUACAAGC